GACGAACGCUGGCGGCGUGCUUAACACAUGCAAGUUGAGCGGAGAUGGAUUGAGAGACUUCGGUUGAUUGGUACAUUUCAGCAGCGGACGGGUGAGUAAAGCACAAGGACUUGUCCGAAAGAGGGGGACACCUGCGGGAAACCGGAGCUAAUACCCCAUAAGCCGGAAGGUGAAAGGCAGAGAUGCGCUUUUGGAGAGACUUGUGUCCUAUCAGGCAGUUGGUGAGGUAACGGCUCACCAAACCGAAGACGGGUAGCCGGACUGAGAGGUCGACCGGCCACAUUGGAACUGAGAGACGGUCCAG
rnacentral:rRNA from 1 species